rnacentral:rRNA from 1 species
AUGGCGAGCUCACCGACGUUGCAGUUCACGGUGCGCAGGAAGCCCGCAGUGCUGGUGGCGCCGGCGGGGCCGACGCCGCGGGAGCUAAAGCCGCUCUCGGACAUCGACGACCAGACCAGGACGGGCUCCGCUUCCACGUCCCAGUGA